CACCAUCUGCUCCAGUUUUUGCCAUCUAACACAGGAAGAGUUGUGACAUAAUUCCCUGUUGUUUGAGCCAUUUCUUGUUUGCAGCAGAAAGCUUUGUUGAUCUACUUAAGGCUCUUGAUGCCAAAUGUUAGAGAAUUGUGUAAGGAAAAGAGAAGAAAGUGAAGAAGAGUAAGGUAGAAGAAUAGAGGAAUUCUUGUAAUGUAUAUUCAUAUACUUCAAAAGAUCACAAGCUAAUAUCCUACUUUCUAUAAUAAGAUUAACAAAUUUUAACUACUUGCUAUAUCUAGAAACUACAAACUAACUCAACUAACUCUAAUGAUUACACUUAUUAACACCAAUCACAACAUACACAUUCAUAAAAUCUUCUCAUAGAAUCAACACCCAAAAACACACCCCAAGCAUCCUGAAAAUCACGAUAACCCAAUAAAAUAUUACACCAUCCAACAUUACAAAAAAUCUUAUAUGAAGCCAGAAUCAAAUUAAAAAAAGCAGUGAACACGUGGAGUCAUAGACAAGGUGCUAAGAAGAGAAGAUAACGAUGUUGUAAGGAGGACCAACUAUGUGCAAAGUAUCUGGACUUGAGAAUUAAAAGUAUCCUUCACAAACAGGCAGAAUCAUCCAUUGCUGUCGGUGUUGCAACAGUGGUUGCUGAUUCUUCAGCGUAGCUCUGCCAGGUCUUGCCACACAACCACGAAGGAGCCGAGUUGAACCAGUCCAGUUGGAUAUGGGGGUAACCAAAAGCUUCCUCUAACCUCUGUAAACACCAAACCCGGUUACCCCAAACCAUCACCGCGGUUGUGUAGGGCUGCAAACCUCGCCGGAAGUGGCGCCUGUUCACGGAGAGGAGGAGGUGAAAUCGGCACGACGGCCUGGACACCCGGUGACAGCGCCUUGGGUUGUUCCAAACGUCUGGGUUGAAGCACCGCUCAUCGUUGCCUUAUCCCUUUGCUAUCGAUGUUGCUGUGGAUGCUCAGGGCCGCUAGUCAAGGUGGGUUGCUGCUCUAGGGAUUUAAUCCCCUUGCCCCAUUGUAUUUUGCUAACUGUGGAGGAGGGUAACACGCUGCCACCCUUUAAUUCUCCUUUUCUUUUUUU
rnacentral:lncRNA from 1 species